rnacentral:rRNA from 1 species
ACAGAAUAUAAUUUGGUUCCACACAGGAGUAAGUUGGGAAGAGCUAGGAGAGCAGCAGUGAAUCAAAUAAGGGGAGUAGAUGAUGACCAAUAUAAUACUUUGUGGGACUAUGGUCAGGAGCUUAGAAGGAGCAAUCCAGGAAGCCAGUUCUUCUUGUGCACUAAGGAAGUAUUUGAUGAGAAGACAAAGAAGGUACAAGACCACUUUUCCACAUUGUACUGGUCAUAUGAUGCAUGCAAGAGGGGAUUCCUUAAGGGAUGUAGACCAAUCAUUUUCCUGGAUGGUUGUCACAUUAAAACGAGAUACAAGGGAACAUUACUAACAGCCGUUGGAAUCGAUCCCAAUGAUUGUAUCUUUCCAGUAGCAUUUGGGUUAUGUGAAGUGGAGUCAACCCAUAGCUGGGAGUGGUUCUUAGCAUCCUUAAAGGAUGACCUGAACAUAAUGAACACCUCACCAUACACCAUUAUGAGUGACAAGCAGAAG